rnacentral:tRNA from 2 species
GGAAAAGUGGCUGAGUGGUUGAAAGCGGCACCCUGCUAAGGUGUUGAGGGAGUAAUCCUUCCGAAGGUUCGAAUCCUUUCUUUUCCGCCA